rnacentral:rRNA from 1 species
UACCAGCACCCCGAGUGGUCGGGACGUUUAUUGGGCCUAAAGCAUCCGUAGCCGGUUCUACAAGUCUUCCGUUAAAUCCAACUGCUUAACAGGUGGGCUGCGGAAGAUACUAUAGAGCUAGGAGGCGGGAGAGGCAAGCGGUACUCGAUGGGUAGGGGUAAAACCCGUUGAUCCAUUGAAGACCACCAGUGGCGAAGGCGGCUUGCCAGAACGCGCUCGACGGUGAGGGAUGAAAGCUGGGGGAGCAAACCGG